UUCUGGGAUGACGGAAAUUAAGGAAAAAUAAAUUUUCCUGGGGGAAAAAAACAAUUGGACUUUUUUUAUUUCCGGGAUCAUCCGCGGGGCCGUCAAAAGCGGCGCAUGGCAGCAGCCAGAAGUGGCUUUUCUCAAAAAAAGAAUAAAAUAAAUUAAAAUUCCAAACAAAAUUAUUCCGGUUUUUCUCUGAAAGUGUUUUUCUGGUUUAUUGGAUAGUUCUGAAUUGGAGAAGGGGAUUUUUAAUGCUUUCGAAGAAUGCGUUGGGAAUUUCAGGAAUUCCGGGAAACCCCGGGAAGAUCCGGGAUGAGAUUUUUUUUUCUUCUUUCCUGGUCAUCCAUCGGGAUUUUGAUGCUUUCCCUGAUUUUUAAAGAUUUUAUGGAAUUUCCGAAGGAUUCUGGGGGGGGGAUGAAGCUCCUGAGGAAAAAGUGGAUCCCAAAUUCCCAGUCCUGCAGCACCAGAGGAAAUUCAAGAAAACCCGGGAACUUCCUUCUUCCUUGUGACCUUUGCUGUGACUGCCAAGAUGGAAAAAUGCCAAUUUUUUUUUUUUUUUUUUUUUUUUCUGGA